rnacentral:rRNA from 1 species
CCUACGGGCGGCAGCAGUGGGGAAUAUUGGGCAAUGGGCGCAAGCCUGACCCAGCAACGCCGCGUGAAGGAAGAAGGCUUUCGGGUUGUAAACUUCUUUUCUGAGGGACGAAGAAAGUGACGGUACCUCAGGAAUAAGCCACGGCUAACUACGUGCCAGCAGCCGCGGUAAUACGUAGGUGGCAAGCGUUAUCCGGAUUUAUUGGGUGUAAAGGGCGUGUAGGCGGGAAAGCAAGUCAGAUGUGAAAACUCAGGGCUUAACCGCAGAACUGCAUUUGAAACUGUUGAUCUUGAGUACUGGAGAGGCAGACGGAAUUCCUAGUGUAGCGGUGAAAUGCGUAGAUAUUAGGAGGAACACCAGUGGAGAAGGCGGUCUGCUGGACAGCAACUGACGGUGAGGCGCGAAAGCGUGGGGAGCAAACAGGAUUAGAUACCCCUGUAGUC